rnacentral:rRNA from 1 species
UACGUAGGGGGCAAGCGUUGUCCGGAUUUACUGGGCGUGAAGCGCCUGUAGGCGGUUUGUCGCGUCUGCCGUGAAAAUCCGGGGCUCAACCCCGGACUUGCGGUGGGUACGGGCAGACUAGAGUGUGGUAGGGGAGACUGGAAUUCCUGGUGUAGCGGUGAAAUGCGCAGAUAUCAGGAGGAACACCGAUGGCGAAGGCAGGUCUCUGGGCCACUACUGACGCUGAGAAGCGAAAGCAUGGGGAGCGAACAGG